UGCUGGUGACUGUGAGUACUUUCAGCAUGUGCUAAUGGGCACACAAACCACUGCCGGGUUAACCACUGCUGUUUAUUUACAGUUGUGUCCGUGUGGAGAAUCCUGAGUCACGGCUCUGCAGCGCUCUGACCCCAUUCCCAGGGCUAAAUCCUCUGUCCCUGCCAGCACUUUUACCCUGCAGCCAAUGAGGAUGGUGGCUAACCCCUUCACAGCUGUCCUGUUGCCACACUGUGGGGGUCACCCCUCGAAGCACUUUGGAGAUGAGCUGGUUCUGCUUCCCAUUGGCUGGGACAUCCUCUCCCCUGCCCACCAGUGAAUCAACACGUGCUGCUGCUACCAUAGCAGGACACAGAGGCGCAGGAUGUCCUUGGAGAGGCCAGAGGAACCUUCCCACACACCAGGAGAUGCGCUGCUGCACUUUGGGAAUGGGAUGGGGUUUUGUGAAAAUAAAGGACCAAGUAGAGAAGAGAGCCCCUCUUCGCUUAUCCUCUGCAGGACUACAAGAGCUUGGCUGCUAUUAGGCAUCAGAAACCCACAUGGAUGAGUCCCUUCCAUUGCUUCUGCUCCACAGGAACUCACGGAUUAAGUGCAUUUUCUCGUCCUUCCCUUUAUAAAGCUAGUGCUCUGCUGUAACAGGGAUAAUGACA